rnacentral:lncRNA from 1 species
CUAUUCCUCACUGAGAGAGAAGAAUCCACUCCAUUCCAGCAACACAGGACAUCACAGGACAUACGCACUGCUCAGGAAAUCAUCUGACCUGGCCCUGCAGAGCACGGGACCCAGGAAGAUUGUGUUAGAGGACCAGAGCCCGUGUGGAGCACAGGGAGGGAAACAAAGCUUGUCAGUGUCACCAACAAAAACUCAACUUCUGACAUUAAUCCUGAGUAGUUACCCAUGCCCAGACCGAUGCAGAGAUCCGACCCAACAAAACAACGUCGCAGCGUGAGCAGCCGAGAAGUGACGACACCACGGGGCGGAGGGGAACGGAGAGGAAAGCUGCUGACGCCAGGGAGAGAUGCCGCUGGGCCAGGCACGGCUGCCCGCAGGAGAGGCCUCCGCAGGGAGAGGAAACUAAUGAAGACAACGGGGAGAUGGAGGAAGGAACCAGAGAUGUUCAAAGACUAGAUCGUGGGUCAGAUGGUAAUGACUCUAACCUAAGGCAGGGAUGAUGGCAGAAAGAUGCCUUCACAGGACAAACUGAGCCUAGCGCUCAACACCCCCACCUGGGGAAAGUGACACCUGCAUGGGAACUUAUCCAUGGGUACCACCAGACCCAAAGGACCUCUAUCUUCAAGUAAACCCUACGCUCCCCAAGCAGACAGUGUCAUUUCGGUGAAUGUCCUAACAGCAAAACAAAUUUCUUCUCCGGGGAAUGGUCUUCACAAAUUAUUGCCCAGAGAGUGAAUAAUUCUUCUCUAGUCAGUGGCUAACAGGGAAAUUAUCUAUGUGCCUCUGGACUUGUUCUUGUAUCACAGUGAAUAAACUGGUCCAACCCAAACUGACACAUCCACAAACUCCCUUUGUGAUCCUAGGUAAGAUUUUAGAUGGCAUUUGUCAAUGUAAAAAAUAAAAAUAAAGAACAUAAUGUAAUCAAGUUGCUUUCACACACAACCUAGUUGGUUUUGGCCAAUUAGGAUAUUGGUAGGCUCCUUCAUUGAGCCCAGACCAGAGUACCAUCAGUCCCAGGACUCUAAAAGCCAUCUGUCUUAGUCCCUUUUGUGUUGCUAUAACACAGUAUCUGAGGCAGGGUAAUCUGCAAAGAGAAGAGGUAUUUAAUUCAUGAUUCUAGUGUCUGCGAAGUCCAAGAGCAUGGUGCCCAUGGCUUCUGGUGGGAGCCUUGUGCUGUCUCACAACAUGGUAGAGAAGUAGGAGGGGAAGUGGGCCUUGUGAAAGAGAAGCCAAACAGGAGAGGUGGCCUCACUUUAUAAAAUCCACCUUCUUGGAAAGCAACCCAUUCCCAGGAGAACUCACUCCUGAGAGAUGGCAUUUAAUCUCUCCAUGAGGGUCCCUCGUGGACCAAACACCUCCCACCACUCAACACCAUUACACUGGGGACCAAGCCUCAGUGAGUUUUGGUGAGGACCAACCAUACCAAACCAUAGCACCACUGGAACAACAAGAUUGAGAAUGGCUAUCACAACAUGGAAAUCCUAACCCAUUUUCCUAGAAAUAUACUCUCUCAUUCAUCCCAAUAGCUCUGCAGUCCCCACAACCUCUACUUAUCGUCCUCUGACCCACAACCCC